rfam:Ailuropoda melanoleuca scaffold241_58, whole genome shotgun sequence.
ACCUGGCUGGCUCAGUCAGUAGAGCAUGUGACUUUUGAUCUCAGGUUUGUGACUUCAAGCCCCACGUUGGGUG